rnacentral:lncRNA from 1 species
AUGAGUUACACAAUUAUAAGAGUCGCACAAAUAAACAGGUCACAGAUGCACAGUUAAAAAGAUACGAAAAUACUUCGUACGAUUGGUGGAUCACUGUUGUAGGUGAGAAGUUGGGAUAUGAUAGGAUAUAGAGGGUAAUUUAAUGUAUAUCCGUACCAAAAGAUUAAUUAUCGCUAACGAAAAAACGAUUUUGAAUGGAGUUCGGUUAUACAUGUUAUGAAAGGCCGUAAUAUUUAUGAUUUGAAAAUAAUACAUUUCGUACAUUUUCCCGUUUUUCCUAUAUUUUUCCUGGUUUUUCCUGUUUAUUAUGAAAAUUUCUGAGAAAAUAAAAAUUCAAAAUAAAUAAUAGUACCCAGCUUUCAUUUUUAUUGCUUGUUCACUAUUAAAGAAUAUUUGAACACUUUGCUUAUGCAGUUAUAUUUAAGCUAUGUUUUUCAGUGCGUGAACUUACAACUAAGCCCGGGUGGUAAAUGGUAAUGGGUAUAAUUACACUGCGAUACUGUUAUAUUAUAUUUGCUGGAUUUUUUUUUAUAACCAUGUUAUAGUAUUAAUAUGUGUAGCCUACAGGUUAUUAAUUUUUAGGACAACACGUGCGAUAAAAAUAUCUAUGUAUACAGUCUAUACUUUGGUCCACACUAAUCGUAUAAAAAUAAAUAAUGUGACAAUUAUCAACACAAAUGUAAACAAUGAAUUGUAAAAAAAAGAGACGGACGAGUCAGGAAGUUUUUCACGUUUCAAUCAACCUUAUAUAGCUGGUAUAAUCUGUGUGAUCCGGCGAAAAAACGGAUUGCCCUCGGAUUUCCCGAACCAACCGAGAAAAUCCGCUGUCGUCAUCAUGGUCGGGUACCUACCUAUAUGUACCUGUGGUUUCGCACACGUCAAGUGACGUGAUUGCGUGAAAUCACUCGAUUUUCCAUGGUGUAUAAGUGACAAGUGUGUGUGUUCACUGUAUACACACUGCGGCGCUAUAACGUUUGAAUAAUUCCAUGCGGGCGAGUACGACUCCACGAAAGAUUAUAUUAUUUAUUGCGACACAAUAUACCUGCACUACUAUCAUUAUAGAAGGUAUAUUUACCGUUUUUCCAUUAGCAACGAGGAGAAACAUACAAAUAAAAAACAGUACAUAGUGUACAGAGUGAUUCGCGAAAGUGCAAUAAUUAUAUAAAAAGGAGAAUUUUGAGUAAAUUUGAUUUCGUUUUUUUUUCCAAUCAUUAUUAAAUUGUAUAGAAUAUCGUGUAAAUCAUCUUAUUUUCAAUAUUUCAGAAAGUUAUACUUAUUUUACAUGCCCGUCAAUAUAUAUAUCUGUGUAUAUACAUAUAUAACUACUAGGUAAUGAUUUCUCAGAGAACCCACAUUUUUAAACUAUGAUUCGAAAAGUGGAAUUUACUUAACUUGUAUAAUACAUUUUGACACGCAUGUUAUGAUAUUUGUAUUUAUCGUUCAGUUUAUGAGUUAUAAAAAAGUUUUGAAUCUUAUAUGUACACAAUUUUAAUUCAAUCAAACCGCUAUACACUUUUACAGUAUUAUUCCGACCUUGACGAAACUUUGCACAUUUAACAUUCAAAAGGUUAUUAUAUUAUUUAAUUCGAUUCUCAUAAUAGACAAGGAAAUACCCUUUUUAAAAGAUAAAUUACUGUAUAACAACGAUUUACUGGGAUAAAGAUGGAAAGGUGGAAACACGUUAAAUUUAUUAUUUUUUUAUUAAUUUCUAUUUUUGAAAUAUUUGUGCCCAAAAAAUAUCGAGCAAUUCAGUUGUUAACUAUACAUAUGGAUAUGAACUUGACUAUUACCUUUCCCUCCUUUAUAAUCGUCCAAUCUAAAUUUGAACUAUUAAAUGUUUAAUCAUUAACUUACAAACUGUUCAUUUGAUAUUAAAUAUUUUGUGCACAAUUGACAUAUAUUGAUAAAUAUUCGUAUUUUGAAUACAAGUUUCAAAAUUAGCUGGGUUGUGUUGAACUGUAUAUACAUAUCCAGAAAAAGAAAAAGAAUGUUGAAAAUAUUGAAAAACGAUACAGUUGAAUUUUAAUAUCAUUAUAUUUUUCUGUAAUGGAAUUAUAACAAAAAAAAAGAGCUAAUACUGGGGAUGGGAGCGGCCACUGUUGUAGGUGAAGUUGGGAAGGUAGGAUAUAUAAGGUUAUUUUAUCUAUAUCUGUAAGUAACGAUAAACCAUUGCUUGUUUGACGAAAGACAAUCCCGAGCGCAGUUCAGUAAUAUAUAAUUUGAAGUGCCAUAUUUUUUUUGCGAUUUUCGUUUAAAUUUGAUUUCAAAACGCUUAUUAAAAAAAGAAAUUCGUCCGAUUAUUUAGGAAAUGUUACCACGUCUAAGUAAAUCUAAUAUAUGUAUUAUUACCAAUUUUCAAGUCUUUAUAUGUAUUUAUUAUCAAAUAACAACAAAAACAUCCAAAAUUAAAAUUCCUUAAAAGCUCAAAAGUGGUUCAAAAAUUAUGAUUAUAUUACUGUAAGAUAGUAAAUUUAAAAGGCAACAAAAUAAGUAGCUUUUAAUUUUUUGAUUAAAUAAUUUUUUCUGGUAGAAAACGUCGUCUGUGUUUAUAAAACACAUAAUGAAAUCGUGAAAUUGUACGUUAUCCAAUGUUUUUUUUCCCCACUUAAGUGCUUUUAUUUAAAAAAUGGAGUUGAAAAUCAAAAAAACUUCUCUAUAGUGUAUCAUCCAGAAAAUUUGAGCUUUCAAAAAAGUUGCUUCAUGUAGAAAUUGGAGCAAGUUUACUAGGAAAAAACGCGUUCAUAGAUUAGAAAAAAAAGAAAUAAACAUCUUGGUAAAACCAAUAGCUCCUUCAUUACUCUCGGAAUCUAAAAGGAAAUUAAAUUAAAUGUAUAGGUUUAUUAAAAAUCUUCAUAAGUA